AGUCAAAAUCAACAUGGAGAAAUUUGAUCAGUUGAAAAUAACAAAUCGAUCUUCCCAUAAAGAAGAACAAUUGAUUCUCUCGCUCACAUCCGGCAUAACGAGUGGAUUUUGAAAACUUUAAUUCCUCAAUUUGGAGCAAACGAAAAUCAGAAAUAAAAUUGGGAAAGGGAGCUAGAUCGUGGAGAGAAAAAAACUUAAAUCCGAGAAUAUACUUCCGCUCGAUCUUUUUUCCAGGUUCUCUUAAUCUUCUUCCACUAGAACAUACAUCUCUGACCAAUCAACUACUCCGAGAUUAUGAAAAUUUGGCUAUUGUAGGUCGCCGGGGUUUUAAUCUAUUCAUAACGUUUUGGUUAAAAAAGGGUGAUUUGGGAUCAGAUGAAAAUUGAAGAAUCUACAUAAGAUCGCAAGUGUCAUUUUCAUCUGUAGAUACGCGGAGUCUUUCCCAAGACAAAUCCUCGGUCCAGCCUGCACAAACAGAAGGCACAUGUA